rnacentral:tRNA from 1 species
CCCGUAGCUCAGCUGGAUAGAGCGUUGCCCUCCGAAGGCAAAGCUAAGUCAAGUGGGUUGUGUGUGCGGAUUAGAAAAAGCGAGGGAAACCAAGCGAUUGGCGAACCUCGAAGGAACCA